rnacentral:rRNA from 1 species
GGUGGGGAUGACGUCAAGUCAUCAUGGCCCUUACGGCCAGGGCUACACACGUGCUACAAUGGGCGGUACAGAGGGUUGCCAAGCCGCGAGGUGGAGCAAAUCCUAAAAAGCCGGUCUCAGUCCGGAUUGGAGUCUGCAACUCGACUCCAUGAAGUUGGAAUCGCUAGUAAUCGCAGAUCAGCACGCUGCGGUGAAUACGUUCCCGGGCCUU